CUUAUCUUCAGAAUGACAGUUACAAUGGACUGAAAUGCUUGCAGCUGCAGUCUCUGUCUAGUUUAUUGGUGUUGGAGCCAGGCAUCCUUAGCUGUGUCUUUUUCUUGCUCUUUGAGGUGUCAUGGCCUCACAGUCCCCUACAAUCCUCAGCUGAAACCAGUGUUUCAUAGAGGUUCACUUACCAUUAACCUGCUACCCAUCUCCAGAGAAGGGACCUAGGCCUGGGACAGACUCAAUAGUACUUAUCAAGAUCAAGAAGAAUUUUGAAAUUAGUUAUGUCAUAUUUAGGCCUUUGUUAUUGUGCUCCCUUUUAAACCAAAGAGCAAAAUAUAUUUUAGAAAGCAACCCAAAGGAUUAUCUGCUGGAGUUUUAGAAAUUUGGGACUCAUAAUGACUGAUUAUACCUUGAGUGGGCAGGAUUCCUUAGCCUUGUGUUGGGGCAUUCCUCAGAAAGGAGUAAGGACCUGGAGAUUCUCUUGUGGAUGUUGU
rnacentral:lncRNA from 1 species